rnacentral:rRNA from 1 species
GGCCGUGCCUAAUACAUGCAAGUCGAACGGUCUUUCUAUGGAAGCUUGCUUCCACUGAGAAGAUAGUGGCGAACGGGUGAGUAACACGUGGGUAACCUGCCCAUAAGAGGGGGAUAACAUCCGGAAACGGGUGCUAAUACCGCAUAGUUUUCUUGAUCGCAUGAUUGAGAAAGGAAAGACGGCCUUUGUGCUGUCGCUUAUGGAUGGACCCGCGGCGUAUUAGUUAGUUGGUGAGGUAAUGGCUCACCAAGACGAUGAUACGUAGCCGACCUGAGAGGGUGAUCGGCCACAUUGGGACUGAGACACGGCCCAAACUCCUACGGGAGGCAGCAGUAGGGAGUCUUCCGCAAUGGACGAAAGUCUGACGGAGCAACGCCGCGUGAGUGAAGAAGGUUUUUCGGAUCGUAAAACUCUGUUGUCAGAGAAGAACAAGUUGGAGAGUAACUGCUCCAGCCUUGACGGUAUCUGACCAGAAAGCCACGGCUAACUACGUGCCAGCAGCAGC